GAUGAUGAUAACAUUGGGGAAUAAAAGUUAGUUUUUCUAUGCAGUGAAGCUUCAGAAAACAUCUGAUCAGCAGAGCUAAUUGACUGCUAGCUGAGAGUGUAAAAGACAAGUGAAUUUCAGGACUAUCAUGAGAGGAGAUGAUGACUCUGUUUCAAUAGCCUCCCGGUGAUACACAAGUGCUGAGUCUACUGGGUCUUUUGCAAGGCUGAG
rnacentral:lncRNA from 1 species